GAUGAACGCUGGCGGCGUGCCUAAUACAUGCAAGUCGAGCGAACGGACGAGAAGCUUGCUUCUCUGAUGUUAGCGGCGGACGGGUGAGUAACGCGUGGAUCCCCUACCUAUAAGACUGGGAUAACUUCGGGACACCGGAGCUAAUACCGGAUGAUAUUUUGAUCCGCAUGGUUCAAAGGUGAAAGACGGUCUUGCUGUCACUUAUAGAUGGAUCCGCGCUGCAUUAGCUAGUUGGUAAGGUAACGGCUUACCAAGGCAACGAUGCAUAGCCGACCUGAGAGAGUGAUAGGCCACACUGGAACUGAGACACGGACCAGAGUACUACGGGAGGCAGCAGUAGGGAAUCGUACGCAAUGGUCGAAAGCCUGACGGAGCAACGGCGCGCGAGUGAUGACGGUCUUCGGAUCGUAAAACUCUGUUAUUAGUGAAAAACAUAUGUGUAAGGAACUGUGCACAGCUUGACGGUACUUAAUCAGAAAGCCACGGCUAACUACGUG
rnacentral:rRNA from 1 species